UACGUAGGGUGCAAGCGUUGUCCGGAAUUAUUGGGCGUAAAGAGCUCGUAGGCGGUUUGUCGCGUCGGCCGUGAAAUCUCCACGCUUAACGUGGAGCGUGCGGUCGAUACGGGCAGACUUGAGUUCGGUAGGGGAGACUGGAAUUCCUGGUGUAGCGGUGAAAUGCGCAGAUAUCAGGAGGAACACCGGUGGCGAAGGCGGCAUCCUGGACCGGCAUUGACGCUGAGGAGCGAAAGCUAGGGGAGCAAACGGG
rnacentral:rRNA from 1 species